rnacentral:rRNA from 1 species
CCUACGGGAGGCAGCAGUGGGGAAUAUUGCACAAUGGGGGAAACCCUGAUGCAGCGAUGCCGCGUGGAGGAAGAAGGUUUUCGGAUUGUAAACUCCUUUUAUCAGGGACGAUAAUGACGGUAUCGGAAGAAAAAGCUCCGGCUAUAUACGUGCCAGCAGCCGCGGUAAUACGGAGGGAGCGAGCGUUGUCCGGAAUUUCUGGGUGUAAAGGGAGCGGAGGCGGGACGGCAAGUCAGAUGUGAAAACUGAGGGCUCAACUUGCAGAAUGCAUUGGAAACUGGUGGUCUUGAGUGAAGGAGAGGGAGGCGGAAUUCCUAGUGUAGCGGUGAAAUGCGUAGAUAUUAGGAGGAACAUCAGUGGCGAAGGCGGCUUACUGGGCUUUUACUGACGCUGAGGCUCGAAAGCGUGGGGAGCAAACAGGAUUAGAUACCCGGGUAGUC